rnacentral:rRNA from 1 species
CCUACGGGUGGCUGCAGUGAGGAAUAUUGGUCAAUGGGCGUAAGCCUGAACCAGCCAUCCCGCGUGCAGGAAGAAGGCGCUAUGCGUCGUAAACUGCUUUUCCAGGGGAAGAAAACCCGAUACGUGUAUCGGCUUGCCGGUACCCUGGGAAUAAGCAUCGGCUAACUCCGUGCCAGCAGCCGCGGUAAUACGGAGGAUGCGAGCGUUAUCCGGAUUUAUUGGGGUUAAGGGGGGCUUAGGCGGUAGCGUAGAAAACCUUCAGCUUAACUGGAGACUUGCCAUUGAUACUGUUAGUCUUGAGCACGGUCAAGGUAGGCGGAAUGUGUAAUGUAGCGGUGAAAUGCUUAGAUAUUACACAGAACACCGAUUGCGAAGGCAGCUUACUGGGCCAUUACUGACGCUGAUGCACGAAAGCGUGGGGAGCGAACAGGAUUAGAUACCCCGGUAGUC